rnacentral:rRNA from 1 species
ACGAACGCUGGCGGCGUGCUUAACACAUGCAAGUCGAACGGAAAGGCCCUGCUUUUGUGGGGUGCUCGAGUGGCGAACGGGUGAGUAACACGUUAGUAACCUGCCCUUGACUUUGGGAUAACUUCAGGAAACUGGGGCUAAUACCGGCUAGGAGCUCCUGCUGCAUGGUGGGGGUUGGAAAGUUUCGGCGGUUGGGGAUGGACUCGCGGCUUAUCAGCUUGUUGGUGGGGUAGUGGCUUACCAAGGCUUUGACGGGUAGCCGGCCUGAGAGGGUGACCGGCCACAUUGGGACUGAGAUACGGACCAGACUCCUACGGGAGGCAGCAGUGGGGAAUAUUGCACAAUGGGCGGAAGCAUGAUGCAGCAACGCCGCGUGCGGGAUGAAGGACUUCGGGUUGUAAACCGCUUUCGCCUGUGAAGAAGAGUGAGUGACGGUAAUGGGUAAAGAAGCACCGGCUAACUACGUG